rnacentral:rRNA from 1 species
GGGACGAACGCUGGCGGCGUGCUUAACACAUGCAAGUCGAGCGGAAAGGCCUUUCGGGGUACUCGAGCGGCGAACGGGUGAGUAACACGUGAGUAAUCUGCCCAUCGCUUCAGGAUAGCCAUCGGAAACGGUGAUUAAUACUGGAUAUGACAUUCCUUCGCAUGUUGGGGUGUGGAAAGUUUUUUCGGCGGUGGAUGUGCUCGCGGCCUAUCAGCUUGUUGGUGGGGUAAUGGCCUACCAAGGCUUUGAC